rnacentral:rRNA from 1 species
GCUCAGGAUGAACGCUGGCGGCGUGCCUAAUACAUGCAAGUCGAGCGAACGGACGAGAAGCUUGCUUCUCUGAUGUUAGCGGCGGACGGGUGAGUAACACGUGGAUAACCUACCUAUAAGACUGGGAUAACUUCGGGAAACCGGAGCUAAUACCGGAUAAUAUUUUGAACCGCAUGGUUCAAAAGUGAAAGACGGUCUUGCUGUCACUUAUAGAUGGAUCCGCGCUGCAUUAGCUAGUUGGUAAGGUAACGGCUUACCAAGGCAACGAUGCAUAGCCGACCUGAGAGGGUGAUCGGCCACACUGGAACUGAGACACGGUCCAGACUCCUACGGGAGGCAGCAGUAGGGAAUCUUCCGCAAUGGGCGAAAGCCUGACGGAGCAACGCCGCGUGAGUGAUGAAGGUCUUCGGAUCGUAAAACUCUGUUAUUAGGGAAGAACAUAUGUGUAAGUAACUGUGCACAUCUUGACGGUACCUAAUCAGAAAGCCACGGCUAACUACGUGCCAGCAGCCGCGGUAAUACGUAGGUGGCAAGCGUUAUCCGGAAUUAUUGGGCGUAAAGCGCGCGUAGGCGGUUUUUUAAGUCUGAUGUGAAAGCCCACGGCUCAACCGUGGAGGGUCAUUGGAAACUGGAAAACUUGAGUGCAGAAGAGGAAAGUGGAAUUCCAUGUGUAGCGGUGAAAUGCGCAGAGAUAUGGAGGAACACCAGUGGCGAAGGCGACUUUCUGGUCUGUAACUGACGCUGAUGUGCGAAAGCGUGGGGAUCAAACAGGAUUAGAUACCCUGGUAGUCCACGCCGUAAACGAUGAGUGCUAAGUGUUAGGGGGUUUCCGCCCCUUAGUGCUGCAGCUAACGCAUUAAGCACUCCGCCUGGGGAGUACGACCGCAAGGUUGAAACUCAAAGGAAUUGACGGGGACCCGCACAAGCGGUGGAGCAUGUGGUUUAAUUCGAAGCAACGCGAAGAACCUUACCAAAUCUUGACAUCCUUUGACAACUCUAGAGAUAGAGCUUUCCCCUUCGGGGGACAAAGUGACAGGUGGUGCAUGGUUGUCGUCAGCUCGUGUCGUGAGAUGUUGGGUUAAGUCCCGCAACGAGCGCAACCCUUAAGCUUAGUUGCCAUCAUUAAGUUGGGCACUCUAAGUUGACUGCCGGUGACAAACCGGAGGAAGGUGGGGAUGACGUCAAAUCAUCAUGCCCCUUAUGAUUUGGGCUACACACGUGCUACAAUGGACAAUACAAAGGGCAGCGAAACCGCGAGGUCAAGCAAAUCCCAUAAAGUUGUUCUCAGUUCGGAUUGUAGUCUGCAACUCGACUACAUGAAGCUGGAAUCGCUAGUAAUCGUAGAUCAGCAUGCUACGGUGAAUACGUUCCCGGGUCUUGUACACACCGCCCGUCACACCACGAGAGUUUGUAACACCCGAAGCCGGUGGAGUAACCUUUUAGAGCUAGC